UAUAUAGAAAAAUGUAUUGAAUCGUGUUCCCUAUCUUGUAGGAAAUACAAACAUCCAUCGUAUAACUAGCCAGGGUCACUAUGAUCUGAGAAUUGACUUGGAAGACUUUGAAGGAAACACCAGGUACGCGCUGUAUAAGAACUUUUCCGUGGCAUCAAAGCAGGACUACUUCAGGUUGAGUGUUGGAGAAUACAGUGGGGAUGCAGGAAACGGUCUUGGUAUCCACAGUGGUUACAAAUUCUCAGCAAAAGAUUUGGAUGUGGAUACAUACCCUUCCAGCUGUGCCCAGAAGUUCAAAGGAGCCUGGUGGUACACGUCCUGCCAUUCCUCGAACCUGAACGGGCAGUAUUUAGGAGGACCUCACGCGUCGUACGCGGAUGGCGUGGAGUGGAGUAGCUGGCGAGGUCAAUACUAUUCUAUGAAAACAUCAGUGAUGAAAAUCAGACCAAUGAAAUUCUGAAAGAAUAGUAAUGAAAAUUGCAUUGCUGGUAUUAUGAAGACUAGAUUCCCGGAAGUAUGAAGAUUAGAUUCCUGUAAUUAUGAUGAUUCAGGCAAUUAUGAAGAUGAGAAACCAGGAAUUCCAAAACAAAUAUUAUAUUAGUCAUCACGAAUAUUAUAUCCCACACAUUAUUAAGACAACAUCCCAGAAUAUUACAUUCCUAGAAUUACUAAUAAAUUAUGAAGUUUCUUGAAAUUGUCACAAACAUAUUGCUAUUUGUAUCAACCUGAAAUGCAAGAAAUAUAUCAUUGUAUGUGAUGUAUCGUAUUCAUUAAUUUAAAAUCUCAAAUGCAAGAAAUAUAUCAUUGUAUGUGA